GAUUAACGCUGGCGGCGCACAUAAGACAUGCAAGUCGAACGGACUUAAUCGAUUCUUUUAGAUUCGAAGCGGUUAGUGGCGGACUGGUGAGUAACACGUAAGCAACCUGCCUAUUAGAGGGGAAUAACAGUGAGAAAUCAUUGCUAAUACCGCAUAAGCCCACAGCACCGCAUGGUGCAGCGGGAAAAGGAUUUAUUCGCUUUGAGAUGGACUCGCGUCCAAUUAGCUAGUUGGUGAGGUAACGGCCCACCAAGGCGACGAUUGGUAGCCGGUCUGAGAGGAUGAACGGCCACAUUGGGACUGAGACACGGCCCAG
rnacentral:rRNA from 1 species